CUACUAUUAUAAAUAUUUCCAAAUAAAAGAAUAGAAGAAAUUAAAAGACAGUCUACAGAAACUAUAGUUUCUUGUGCACACCGAAGAACUAAAACCCAACAUUUCCCCUGAGAAGUCAAAGCUCAAUUGAAAUAGCCUUCUUCUUUGAUUCCCAGGGAGCCCCAGCCCCUCAACAACCUCCCCUCCAUUGUGACAUUUCCGUUGUGAGGCUGUGUCGCCGCUGCGCGUCAUCACGUGUCGAUGGAGGCAUCGCAAUGCAACAGCCAAGUAUCGGA
rnacentral:lncRNA from 1 species